rnacentral:lncRNA from 1 species
AGGAAGAAGAAAUUGAGGAGGAAGUAGAAGAAGAAGAAGAGGUAGAUGGUGAUGGAGAAGAAGACGACGAAGAAGAUGACAUACCAGAAGGAGAGGAAGAUUUGGAAGAAGGAGAAGAAGAAGAAGAAGAUGAAGCGGAAGGUGAAGGUGAAGAAGUGGAGGAUGAGGAAGAAGACUCAUAAUGAAAAGAGUGGAAGAAUAAUGUAAGUAAAAAAGGGAGGAAGGCACGUGGCAUCAUCGUCGAUCUUCGGCAAUAUUUUCAGCAAACACUUACUCUCAUAUUGAGUGGUUGGUAACAAUGUUGAUAUCGAUCGUGCCCAAUCAAUGUCACUGGAUCAUCCUCCUGAACUACAAAAUAAAAAUUACCAUCUCACCGGAGUUGUGUAGGGCUGACGCAUUAUAUUAAUGCAGUCGCAUUUUGUACUGUCUUGGCUCUUCGCAAUUCUGAUAUCUUUUAGCCAUCACCAAAUACUAUUAGGUCGUUCGCACGAAAAUUGUACAUUUGUCCUGAGGACAGCAAUAACAAUGAUUAAUAAAUCCAACAUAUAUAUAUUUAAAUAUAUAUAAAUAUAAUUAUUAUAUUUAUAUAUAUUUAUAUACCUGUAUUUAGACUCCUUAAUAUACCAAUUAAAAUCCUGGUAUAUUAGAUGGCUGCUGCUUGUCCUCGAGACAAAUAUGCUACUUUAAUAUGAACCACCUAUUAAACUGGUAUUUGCCGUCAUCUGGCUUUCUGCAAAGAAACAUUUUUUAAUGAAACUUAUUUAAGAAUAAAUAAGAAAAAUAAAAAAAUUUUAUUAUAUUUAAAUAGUGUACAAUGAACAUUUGAAUGCGACAGUUUUUUUAUAUUUGAAAUCAAAUUUACGUUUAUAGUUCAACGAAUGUCUCUCACCUAGUGCGUGUGAUUGAAUUUUUUUUUCAACUGAUGUGUAAUAGCAGUGUAUUCGCAGGAGCGCGAGGCUCGCAAAGUAAAUCAUAUGGUAUAUGAAUGUGUGUGCAUUAAGGAAAAACAAAACGGAACGAAACGAAAUGAAACUAAACAAAACUAAAGCAAAAAUAAAAUUCAACUAAGGUAUAAAUCGUAUGGACAUCUCUCGACAUUCGGAUGUGUAUAUAUCUAUAUGUAUACGCAAACUAGUAGAGAAAUUCAUAAAAAGAAAAAACAAAAAAAUAACAAAAAAAAAGAACCCCCAUCGCUUCGUGCUCCUGUAAAAUAAAGAGGCAAGUUUAUUAAGGUUAUGUAAAUGCAAUGUUCGCGUCAGGUAGUUGUAUGGAUGAAUAAUGUGUGACUUAAGCAUUGCAUAAUAAUUAUACAUAGUAUGUAUAAAGUUAUGAAAUAAGAAACAUUUUAUUAUUAACGAUAAUAUUAUGUAACGUAAUGUAACGUAACGUAAUGCGGGGAGGUUGUUACUCUUUAGAUUUGGGCAUAGCGAGUAGGGAGAGCAUUUAUAUAUUCAAUCCCCAAAGCUCACAAUGACUGCUGCGUUCCAUCAUCGUUGUUUCAUUUCUGUUGAUUUAAUCUAUUUUAUUUUAUUUUUAUGCCUACGUCAAAGAAUCAAUUCUAUAUUUAUAUUAUUUCUUCUUACAGUUAUUUGAAAUAAAAGAGGAAAUAUAAAGUAUGUAGUAGCAUUCUACAAAUCUUAAAAAUUAUUUUAUUAUCGUUUAGAUCACAUGUAUUCGAUAGUAUAGAAAAAGGUCCGAUAACUCUCCCUAUUCCAGUGUUCUCUCUCUCUUUCUCUCUCUUUUUCUCUCUUUCACUUUCACUUUCACUCACUCACUCACCUUCAUUUGAGCGUAUUCGAUUGUAUUUUUAUGUACUGCGGUUUUACUUUGACUUCAUUGUCAUGGGCUACUCAUAGCAAUGAUUCUGGUUGACUGUCGCAGAGAAUAAGUGAUUGGGUUUAUUUCUAGUGAUUCCUUUUCAUUCGUAACGAUCAGUAUCUUAACGGUAACGUUAUUAAUAUGUAGCUGCAAAAAUAAAAAAUUUAUCAAAGACAGUUUUAACAGAUCAUUCUUUACGCUUGAUAGAGAUAAUUAUCACUUAGUUACAUCCGACAGUCAAAACGCGAUGAUGCUCUUUAUACGUUUAGUAUUAAGAGUUUUGAAGGAUCACUUGCAAACACAGAUGCGUCCAUAUUGUCAGUUACUUUUUUGGGAGACUGUUAAAUAAAAAGAAGGGUGAAGAGACAUUGCGGUUACGACACCAUUGUACUAUAGCUGCAUAAUAAUUAAAUAAAAAUAACGAUAAUUUGAUGAAUGCGAGAGAAUGUCCCACGUUUUAAUGUACAAAUAUUUUCGAAUGAGAUAGUUUAAUAAACACAGUUAGAUCGGAUAAAUCAAUUCGUUCUCGUGAAGUAGCAAUGAGUUUUAAUAUUUUAAUGAAACAAAAAAAAAUAAUAAUAAUAAGAAUAAGAAAAAAAAAUAAAAAUUAUAAGAACAAUCGCGGUUUUAUAGAUUGCCAUGUCUCAUAUGACCGUGAAAAAAAAAAGAAUUGGCUGUAUGAAACUUAAGGAGAUGGACUGGACCGUGUCCUUUCGUGCUUAUAUUUUAGAGCACGAUUGUAAGUGCGAUCGUUUGUAUGUAUAUGUGUGUAUGCGUGCGUGCAUGCGUGCGUGUGCGUAUUGUAUCCUAGACCUACGAGAUCAAUAAGAAAAAGACAGAAAAAAAAGAAAAGGUGUGGAAUGAAACGCGAGCGCAUUCAAAGAGACGCGAUGAGAGAUCGUCAGGCUGAUUCUUUAUUAAUAAAUACGGGCCAAUACCAUUUCUGGCAGUUUCUCUGUUAACAAAACAUAACUACGGUUUUAUACACAAACUGCUACUGUAUGUACACCACGUGCUUGCUUCAAGAUAGUACCUUGACUCUGAUUGUUGACAAAGAACUAUCUUCUUAAAGUAUGGAUGCAAGAGAAAUGAUAAAGCUGAGUACUUUAGCAUUCAUAGUAUACUAUACGUACACUAUAAGUAUAGGUUUAUUUAAUUUUAUUAAUAUAAUACAAUGUCAAGUCCCGUUCGCAACACAACCAGAAUAAGAACAAAAUAAAAGAAAAGAAAACAAAAAUUUAAGACUUGCGUUGUGUACUACAUGAAGCCAGAGACUAUAAACAUUACACAUUUUGUUUUUUGCUCGAGUACUCAACGCGAUUCAAAAAAUACAAUUUUACUGGUGCUAACGGGUCUUAAAAUCAAUCAGGCGGAAUACGCCAAGAUAACCGUUACAUCUUUACGUUUGUUAGGUAAGCAUGAAGAUGGAAAAAAUAAAAUAAAAAAAAAAAAGAACAGAAUUUUGAGAUAAAAUCUGGUAACGAUACACAUCUUUAAGAUUUAAACGUAAACGAAGUCUUAGGCUAAGAAUUUGGUUUGUGUGUUCAUAAGUCUUGUUCAAACUACUUUUGUACAGGAUACCAUCACAUCAUCUCGUUCUCUCUCUCUCUGUCUCUCUCUUUCUCUCUGUCCCUUCUCCUUUCUCUCGACGUAACAGUAACCGACACCACAGACAUUUUCUGCCCAUUCCAUCAGAUUUGACUUUCAUUGUAUUUUUAAGUAAAUACAUUUUGAAAACUA